CCUACGGGGUGCAGCAGUGGGGAAUAUUGCACAAUGGGGGAAACCCUGAUGCAGCGACGCCGCGUGAGUGAAGAAGUAUUUCGGUACGUAAAGCUCUAUCAGCAGGGAAGAAAAUGACGGUACCUGACUAAGAAGCCCCGGCUAACUACGUGCCAGCAGCCGCGGUAAUACGGAGGGGGCAAGCGUUAUCCGGAUUUACUGGGUGUAAAGGGAGCGUAGACGGCAGCGCAAGUCUGGAGUGAAAUCCCAUGGCUUAACCAUGGAACUGCUUUGGAAACUGUGCAGCUAGAGUGCAGGAGAGGUAAGCGGAAUUCCUAGUGUAGCGGUGAAAUGCGUAGAUAUUAGGAGGAACACCAGUGGCGAAGGCGGCUUACUGGACUGUAACUGACGUUGAGGCUCGAAAGCGUGGGGAGCAAACAGGAUUAGAUACCCCAGUAGUC
rnacentral:rRNA from 1 species